rnacentral:rRNA from 1 species
GAUGAACGCUGGCGGCGUGCCUAAUACAUGCAAGUCGAGCGAACAGACGAGGAGCUUGCUCCUCUGACGUUAGCGGCGGACGGGUGAGUAACACGUGGAUCACCUGCCUAUAAGACUGGGAUAACUUCGGGAACCGGAGCUAAUACCGGAUAAUAUAUUGAACCGCAUGGUUCAAUAGUGAAAUACGGGUUUGCUGUCACGUAUAGAUGGAUCCGCGCCGCAUUAGCUAGUUGGUAAGGUAACGGCUUACCAAGGCGACGAUGCGUAGCCGACCUGAGAGGGUGAUCGGCCACACUGGAACUGAGACACGGUCCAGACUCCUACGGGAGGCAGCAGUAGGGAAUCUUCCGCAAUGGGCGAAAGCCUGACGCAGCAACGCCGCGUGAGUGAUGAAGGUCUUCGGAUCGUAAAACUCUGUUAUUAGGGAAGAACAAAUGUGUAAGAAACUAUGCACGUCUUGACGGUACCUAAUCAGAAAGCCACGGCUAACUACGUG